rnacentral:rRNA from 1 species
AAGCCCCACCCUAGCCCAGCCACCUUAACACCAACCUAGCAUCAAAAAACAACUACAAACCCAAAACUAAAACAUUCUAGCAACUUAGUAUAGGCGAUAGAAAAGAUCACCUGGCGCUAUAGCAAGACCGUACCGCAAGGGAAAGGUGAAAUAACAAUGAAAACCCUAAGCUACAAAUAGCAAAGAUUAACCCUUGUACCUUUUGCAUCAUGAUUUAGCAAGAACAACCAAGCAAAGUGAACUUAAGCUUGCCCUCCCGAAACCCAAGCGAGCUACUUACAAGCAGCUAUCUUGAGCGAACCCGUCUCUGUUGCAAAAGAGUGGGAUGACUUGUUAGUAGAGGUGAGAAGCCUACCGAGCUGGGUGAUAGCUGGUUGCCCGUGAAACGAAUUUAAGUUCACCCCUGGCCCGCCCCUAAAGGACGCCCUCUGCCACCUCACUGAGGCCAGCCAGGAGCAAUUUAAAGGAGGUACAGCUCCUUUAAAAAAGAACACAACCUCCCCUAGAGGAUAAAUUCCCCACCUACUAGCCUGUGGGCCCUCAAGCAGCCACCAAUAAAGAGUGCGUCAAAGCUCCUUUAAUAAAAAUACCCUAACAACACAACUCCCUUAUUCCUAACGGGCUAACCUAUGAUAAUAGGAGAAUUAAUGCUGAAAUAAGUAACUUGGGGUCAUCUACCCCCUCUUAUUAGCGCAAGCUUACAUUUACACAUUAUUAACAAACCAAAAUACUCAAACUCCAACAAGAGCAUGUAUUUCUAAGCCUGUUGCCCCCACCCAGGAGCGCUAGCCAGAAAGAUUAAAAUCUACAAAAGGAACUAGGCAAACCCGAGGUCCGACUGUUUACCAAAAACAUAGCCUUCAGCCAUACAAGUAUUGAAGGUGAUGCCUGCCCAGUGACAUUAUGUUCAACGGCCGCGGUAUCCUAACCGUGCAAAGGUAGCGCAAUCAAUUGUCUCAUAAAUCGAGACCUGUAUGAAUGGCCAAACGAGAUCUCAACUGUCUCUUGUGGAUAAUCAGUGAAAUUGAUCUCCCCGUGCAAAAGCGAGGAUAACUACAUAAGACGAGAAGACCCUGUGGAACUUAAAAAUCAGUAGUCAUCUCCUUAAAGUAAAACCUAUAGGCUCACUACCCAGAGAGCAUUGACUAACAUUUUUUGGUUGGGGCGACCUUGGAGAACAACAAAACCUCCAAACACAAGACCACAAAUCUUUACCAAGUGCCACCUCUCGAAGUACUAACAGUGACCAGACCCAGAACCUACCUGAUCAAUGAACCAAGCUACCCCAGGGAUAACAGCGCAAUCUCCUCCAAGAGCUCCUAUCGACGAGGGGGGUUACGACCUCGAUGUUGGAUCAGGACAUCCUAAUGGUGCAGCCGCUAUUAAGGGUUCGUUUGUUCAACGAUUAACAGUCCUACGUGAUCUGAGUUCAGACCGGAGCAAUCCAGGUCGGUUUCUAUCUAUGGCAGACUCUUCCUAGUACGAAAGGACCGGAAAAGUGGGGCCAAUGUAACAAACACGCCCUCUCUCUAAGUAAUGAAUACAACUAAAUUACAAAAAGAGCACCCCUAUCCAUCCUAGAAAAGGAUCG